rnacentral:rRNA from 1 species
GUGGGGAAUAUUGGGCAAUGGGCGCAAGCCUGACCCAGCAACGCCGCGUGAGGGAAGAAGGUCUUCGGAUUGUAAACCUCUGUCCUUGGGGACGAAAAAAAUGACGGUACCCAAGGAGGAAGCUCCGGCUAACUACGUGCCAGCAGCCGCGGUAAUACGUAGGGAGCGAGCGUUGUCCGGAAUUACUGGGCGUAAAGGGUGCGUAGGCGGCAUGGCAAGUCAGAUGUGAAAUCCCCGGGCUUAACUCGGGGGGUGCAUUUGAAACUGCUGUGCUUGAGUGCAGGAGAGGAAAGCGGAAUUCCUAGUGUAGCGGUGAAAUGCGUAGAUAUUAGGAGGAACACCAGUGGCGAAGGCGGCUUUCUGGACUGUAACUGACGCUGAGGCACGAAAGCGUGGGGAGCAAACAGGAUUAGAAACCCCGGUAGUCC